rnacentral:rRNA from 1 species
CUGAGAGGCGUUGCAGUAGUACGUGACAGGCUAACCGUAGGNUUUAACAACUUGCUCUCUAGAAUUUAGCGGCGGACGGGUGAGUAACACGUGGGUAACCUGCCCAUAAGACUGGGAUAACUCCGGGAAACCGGGGCUAAUACCGGAUAAUAUUUUGAACUGCAUGGUUCGAAAUUGAAAGGCGGCUUCGGCUGUCACUUAUGGAUGGACCCGCGUCGCAUUAGCUAGUUGGUGAGGUAACGGCUCACCAAGGCAACGAUGCGUAGCCGACCUGAGAGGGUGAUCGGCCACACUGGGACUGAGACACGGCCCAGACUCCUACGGGAGGCAGCAGUAGGGAAUCUUCCGCAAUGGACGAAAGUCUGACGGAGCAACGCCGCGUGAGUGAUGAAGGCUUUCGGGUCGUAAAACUCUGUUGUUAGGGAAGAACAAGUGCUAGUUGAAUAAGCUGGCACCUUGACGGUACCUAACCAGAAAGCCACGGCUAACUACGUGCCAGCAGCCGCGGUAAUACGUAAGUGGCAAGCGUUAUCCGGAAUUAUUGGGCGUAAAGCGCGCGCAGGUGGUUUCUUAAGUCUGAUGUGAAAGCCCACGCUCACCCGUGGAGGGUCAUUGGAACUGGGAGACUUGAUGCAGAAGAGAAGUGGAUUCC